rnacentral:rRNA from 1 species
UACGUAGGGUGCGAGCGUUAAUCGGAAUUACUGGGCGUAAAGUGUGCGCAGGCGGCCGAGCAAGUCGAGUGUGAAAGCCCCGGGCUUAACUUGGGAAUUGCGCUCGAAACUACUUGGCUGGAGUGUGGCAGCGGAAGGUGGAAUUCCAGGUGUAGCGGUGAAAUGCGUAGAGAUCUGGAGGAACACCGAUGGCGAAGGCAGCCUUCUGGGCCAACACUGACGCUCAUGCACGAAAGCGUGGGGAGCAAACAGG